UUGGUUAAGUUAGAAAGGGCGCACGGUGGAUGCCUUGGCACUAGGAGCCGAAGAAGGACGGGACUAACACCGAUAUGCUUUGGGGAGCUGUACGUAAGCGUUGAUCCAGAGAUUUCCGAAUGGGGGAACCCACUAUCUUUAGUCGGAUAGUAUCCUUACGUGAAUACAUAGCGUGAGGAAGGCAGACCCAGGGAACUGAAACAUCUAAGUACCUGGAGGAAGAGAAAGAAAAAUCGAUUUCCUGAGUAGCGGCGAGCGAAACGGAAAGAGCCCAAACCAAGAAGCUUGCUUCUUGGGGUUGUAGGACACUCUAUACGGAGUUACAAAAGAAAGUUAUAAAUGAAGCGGUCUGGAAAGGCCCGCCAAAGACGGUAACAGCCCGGUAGUUGAAAUAGCUUUCCCUCCAGAGUGGAUCCUGAGUACGGCGGAACACGUGAAAUUCCGUCGGAAUCCGGGAGGACCAUCUCCCAAGGCUAAAUACUCCCUAGUGACCGAUAGUGAACCAGUACCGUGAGGGAAAGGUGAAAAGCACCCCGGAAGGGGAGUGAAACAGUUCCUGAAACCGUGUGCCUACAAGUAGUUAGAGCCCGUUAAUGGGUGAUAGCGUGCCUUUUGUAGAAUGAACCGGCGAGUUACGAUUUGUUGCAAGGUUAAGCGGAAAAAGCGGAGCCGUAGCGAAAGCGAGUCUGAAUAGGGCGCAUAAGUAACAGGUCGUAGACCCGAAACCAGGUGAUCUACCCAUGUCCAGGAUGAAGGUAAGGUAAUACUUACUGGAGGUCCGAACCCACGCACGUUGAAAAGUGCGGGGAUGAGGUGUGGGUAGCGGAGAAAUUCCAAUCGAACUUGGAGAUAGCUGGUUCUCUCCGAAAUAGCUUUAGGGCUAGCCUCGAGGUAAAGAGUCAUGGAGGUAGAGCACUGUUUGGACUAGGGGCCCUUCUCGGGUUACCGAAUUCAGAUAAACUCCGAAUGCCAUGUACUUAUACUCGGGAGUCAGACUGCGAGUGAUAAGAUCCGUAGUCGAAAGGGAAACAGCCCAGACCACCAGUUAAGGUCCCCAAAUAUAUGUUAAGUGGAAAAGGAUGUGGGGUUGCUUAGACAACCAGGAUGUUGGCUUAGAAGCAGCCACCAUUGAAAGAGUGCGUAAUAGCUCACUGGUCGAGUGACCCCGCGCCGAAAAUGUACCGGGGCUAAACAUAUUACCGAAACUGUGGAUGAACCUCUUCGGAGGUUCGUGGUAGGAGAGCGUUCUAAGGGCGGUGAAGUCAGACCGGAAGGACUGGUGGAGCGCUUAGAAGUGAGAAUGCCGGUAUGAGUAGCGAAAGAAGGGUGAGAAUCCCUUCCACCGAAUAUCUAAGGUUUCCUGAGGAAGGCUCGUCCGCUCAGGGUUAGUCGGGACCUAAGCCGAGGCCGAUAGGCGUAGGCGAUGGACAACAGGUAGAGAUUCCUGUACCAGUGCUAAUUGUUUAACCGAUGGGGUGACACAGAAGGAUAGGGAAUCGCACGAAUGGAAAUGUGCGUCCAAGCAGUGAGUGUGAGAAGUAGG
rnacentral:rRNA from 1 species